UUAUAGGUGGAUGUAUCAGUGCAAUAGUGUUACUAGAGAUAUAUCCCUAAUUGGCUGGCAAGGCUCAAAUUCUCAUCGUAUGUCCUCUUGAGUAUGUUAAGGUUUGACAUUUAUAUGGUGAAGAGGACAACCUAAACCUUAAAGAAUGCAAGUCUUGGCAAUUGAGGUUUCUGUCUAGCAAGGUAUAAGUAUUCAAAAGUAGAUCUCCCCCAUAGAAGAACAUGAUACUCAGCUGUUGUUGGUGAGCUCCAGGUUGAUUUCGAGCUUUGACGAGUCUUUACUAUGUGUAUUCUCAUAGCAUGGAUUCUAAUAUAGGCUUUGUAGACAUUGUAAAGAAUUAUCUGUAUUCAUAGUUUCACUUGUCACGUGUAUUGGUGCAGCUAGUCAACAUGUGUAGUAUAUAAGGCUUUUUUC